rnacentral:lncRNA from 7 species
CUCAGAAGCCACGCCCCCUACCCAAAGGCCACGCCCCCCACAGAGAGGCCACACACCCCCAAGAGAGGCCACGCCCCCCGAGAGAGACCACGCCCCUGUCAGGUGCCGUCACUCAUAAGCCACGCCCCUCCCGGCAGGCCACGCCCCCCUCCUGAAAGGCCACGCCCCCAAUAGGCCACGCCCUCAACAGGCCACGCCUCCCCCCAAAAGAGGCCACGCCCUUGACAGGUGCCAUCACUCAUAAGCCACGCCCCCUGCCCACAGGCCACGCCCCCGAGAGGCCACACCCCCAAUAGGCCACGCCCCCCGCAGACCACACCCCUGACAGACCCCAUUACUCAUAAGCCACGCCCCCUCCAGGAAGCCUUCGCCCCUCUUCUGAAAGGCCACGCCCCCAGGAGGCCACACCCCCAAGAGACCACGCCCCCAGAGAGACCACGCCCCUGUCAGGUGCCGUCACUCAUAAGCCACGCCCCCCUCCCGAAAGGCCACGCCCCACUCCCUAAAGGCCACACCCCCAGGGGGCCACACCCCAAGAGACCAUGCCCUCCCCCCCCCCCCCGAGAGAGAUCACGCCCCUGACAGGUGCCGUCACUCAUAAGCCACGCCCCCUCCCGGCAGGCCACGCCCCUACACACAGGCCACGCCCCCCUCCCGAAAGGCCAUGCCCCCAGGAGGCCACACCCCCAAGAGACCACACCCCCCAGAGACCAGCCCUGACAGGUGCAGUCACUCAUAAGCCACGCCCCCUACCCACAGGCCACGCCCCCUAAACGCAGGCCACGCCCCCCUCCAUAAAGGCCACGCCCCCAAGAGGCCACACCCUGAGAGACCACGCCCCAAACAGUCUCACUCAGAAGCCACGCCCACUCCCGGCAGGCCACGCCCCCUCCCGGCAGGCCACGCCCCCCCCAAGAGGCCACGCCCCCAGAGAGGCCGCGCCCCCAAACAGUCUCACUCAGAAACCACGCCCCCUACCCACAGGCCACGCCCCCAGGAGGCCACACCCCCAAGAGGCCACGCCCCCCCCCCAGAGAGACACGCCCCUGACAGGGCCCCAUUACUGAUAAGCCACGCCCCUCCUGAAAGGCCACGCCCCCUCCUUAAAAGGCCACACCCCUCCAGCAGGCCACGCCCCUCACAGCAGACCACGCCCCCAUAUACCACGCCCCUACCCAGUAGGCCACGCCCCCUCCCUUUUCCCCACCAGAUCCCAGCCAAUCGGGCAGCCUAUAGAUCCCAUAGGCCACGCCCACCCAUUAGGCCACGCCCACCCAUUAGGCCACGCCUUCCACCCCCAUCCAAUCAAAUGAGAGUUCCCAUCAUAGGGCUGUAUGGGGCCUCCCCACAGACCACGCCCACUCCGUCUGGCCACGCCCACUCCGUCAGGCCAUGCCCACUCCCAUUGGCUCCCCCUGCGUUGGCCACGCCCUUCCUCAGGCCACGCCCACCCGGUGGGACGGCUGUGCUUCCCAUUGGAUGAGCCCUUUCCGAUGGCCACGCCCACCCCGUUGCCACCCCCCCUUUCCCAUUGGCCGUGCUCUGUAAGCCACGCCCACUCCUUACAGUCCCCGCCCACCCAUCGACCAAUCCCGGGCCACUGGGACCACUCAGGCCACGCCCACCCCCGUGGCCACGCCCCCUUUUGAAUAAAGAAUGGAGAAGUCACGUGACCUUGGCUAUGGAAUCCUAUUGGAUGGGGGAGGUCACAUUUUGGGGUCCCAUUUUAGGGUCUCAUUUUGGGGGUCCCAUUUUGGGGUCCCAUUUUGGGGGUCCCAUUUUGGGGUCCCACUUUGGGGUCCCACUUUGGGGUCCCACUUUGGGGUCCCAUUUUGGGGUCCCAUAUUUGGGGGUCCCACUUUGGGGGUCCCAUUUUGGGGGUCUCACUUUGAGGUCCCAUUUUGGGGUCCCAUUUUGAGCUCCCACAUUUGGGGGUCCCACUUUGGGGUCCCAUUUUGGGUCCCAUUUUGGGGUCCCAUAUUUGGGGG